rnacentral:lncRNA from 1 species
UUAAAUGGAAUGGAUCUCAAGAUGAAAGGGUAUUGAAGUGAAAGAAAAGAAGCAUGAUAAAAAGACUGCCACACAUGGUUGUGCCAUACAAGUAGCAUGCGCGAGAUACUGCUUAAGCACGCCCAAAUGUCGGGGUAGAGCCCCCUUGCUUGCUAUGUGCACACAUUUAGCUUUGCAUGAAUAAACAAACUCUACCAAUUAUACAUGUGCGCUGAGAGAGUUGCGACUGACAUACGCAUGCAUGUGCAGUGUUAAUUUGAGAUGCCUAAAGUGGCGAGACUACCCCCUAACAUGGAAAGUGCGCGCACAAGCAUGUCACAUUGGCAGGCACCGCACAUCGAGGGAGUGCAUGCAAUGGCACCCUGUGUCCCGCGAGGG